UACGGAGGGGGCAAGCGUUAUUCGGAAUUAUUGGGCGUAAAGGGCGCGUAGGCGGCCUGGCAAGUGGAAGGUGAAAUCCCUCGGCUUAACCGAGGAACUGCCCUCCAAACUGCUUGGCUUGAGUCCGGGAGAGGUGAGUGGAAUUCCCAGUGUAGCGGUGAAAUGCGUAGAUAUUGGGAGGAACACCAGUGGCGAAGGCGGCUCACUGGACCGGAACUGACGCUGAGGCGCGAAAGCGUGGGGAGCGAACAGG
rnacentral:rRNA from 1 species